UACGAAGGAUGCAAGCGUUAUCCGGAUUCAUUGGGCUUAAAGGGUGCGUAGGCGGACUUGUAAGUCAGUGGUGAAAUCUCUCAGCUUAACUGAGAAACUGCCAUUGAUACUGCAGGUCUAGAGUACAGAUGAUGUGGGCGGAAUAUGACAUGUAGUGGUGAAAUACUUAGAUAUGUCAUAGAACACCGAUUGCGAAGGCAGCUCACAAAACUGUAACUGACGCUGAGGCACGAAAGUGCGGGGAUCAAACAGG
rnacentral:rRNA from 1 species